GACAGAGGGUGCAAACGUUGUUCGGAAUUACUGGGCGUAAAGCGCGUGUAGGCGGCCAUCUAAGUCGGGCGUGAAAUCCCACGGCUCAACCGUGGAAGUGCACUCGAAACUGGAUGGCUAGAGUCCUGGAGAGGAAGGUGGAAUGCUUGGUGUAGAGGUGAAAUUCGUAGAUAUCAAGCGGAACACCGGUGGCGAAGGCGGCGACCUGGGUAGAUACUGACGCUGAGGUGCGAAAGCGUGGGGAGCAAACAGG
rnacentral:rRNA from 1 species